GACGAACGCUGGCGGCGUGCUUAACACAUGCAAGUCGAACGGAAAGGCCCUGCUUUUGUGGGGUGCUCGAGUGGCGAACGGGUGAGUAACACGUGAGUAACCUGCCCUUGACUUUGGGAUAACUUCAGGAAACUGGGGCUAAUACCGGAUAGGAGCUCCUGCUGCAUGGUGGGGGUUGGAAAGUUUCGGCGGUUAGGGAUGGACCCGCGGCUUAUCAGCUUGUUGGUGGGGUAGUGGCUUACCAAGGCUUUGACGGGUAGCCGGCCUGAGAGGGUGACCGGCCACAUUGGGACUGAGAUACGGCCCAGACUCCUACGGGAGGCAGCAGUGGGGAAUAUUGCACAAUGGGCGGAAGCCUGAUGCAGCAACGCCGCGUGCGGGAUGACGGCCUUCGGGUUGUAAACCGCUUUCGCCUGUGACGAAGCGUGAGUGACGGUAAUGGGUAAAGAAGCACCGGCUAACUACGUG
rnacentral:rRNA from 1 species